rnacentral:tRNA from 1 species
UCCUAGUAGCUCAGACGGUAAAGCAUCUGCCUGCAAUGCAGGAGACCCAGGUUCGAUCCCUGGGCCAGGAA